AGGAAUAUGUGGAAAUUCUCCUGGGUUGUCCAGCUCCUGAGAGUGCCCUGGCUUUGUGGGGUGAAGUCCUUUGAUUGCCUCAGGUUCCUGAUCUGUUCAUGACCAUGUUAGCCCAAAAGGUGGCAGAGCUCCAUUCUUUUUAGGUCUUAUUCUCAGACGGUCUUGGGUAAAUGGUGGCUGAUUGCCUUCAGCAUCUAGAACAAAACACUCUAUGGCCCAGAGGAAUUCCAGCUGGAAUCUAUGAUCUUAUUCUCUUGAGGAAUGGACCAUGCAGUAUCCUUCAAGGAAGAAUCAAGAAUGUUUCCACAGAGAAUAUACAUAUUUCAUCUCUUUCUCUGCUGAAUGGAUCCCCACUGAAAGCCAUGAAUUACUCUCAUUAGACCCUGUAGAAUCCCAGUUUAUGGCAGUGACGUUAAAAACAUCUAGUUUAUGACUUGGAUUAGGCAGCCUGUAAAAUGGCUUCCAGUGAUCCCUGCUUUCUGGUAUGUAUGCCUUUGUAUAAUACCCUCCUCAUGAGUGUAGGCAGAGGUAACAUCACUUUUGAAACUAGGUUAUAUAUAUUAAAACAAACAAACAAACCUGUGGCUUCCAUUUUGGGUACUUUAUCUCACACUCUGAUUUCUUGCUCCGUGGGAAACAGACUGUAAUAUUGUAAGCAGUGCUAUGGAGAGGUCCAUGUGGUAAGGAAGUGAUAGGUCCUGAUAACAGCCAGUGAGGAUCUAAGGUGGAUCCCUUUCUGAGUUGAAUAUUGAGAUAGAUGACUACAGCCCUGGGCUACACCUUGAUUGCACCUCAUGAGGAAUUCUGACCAAAAACACUGUGCUGAACCAUGUCCAGGCUCCUGAGCCACAUAAACUAUGAGAAAACAAAUAUUUGUUUCAAGCCAUUAAGUUUUAAUUUGUUACACAGCAAUAGAUAACUACCACAUGGAAGGAUUCAAUAAGAGAAGGGUUUUUCAUAAGUGAAAUGUUAUUUUCAUCUCACAUUUCAAUUAUUAGAAUAUAAAUGAAAGAAAAUAAAUUUGGAUAGGCUCUCAUAAAUUCAAUGAUAAGAAUUUGGAAAAUGCAACCACAUGAAAACCAGGAAGUAAAAGGAAAACAUAAGCGACAUCUUCCCAGACGAGAGUAAAUAUCUGGUUCCCUGAGAAGUGUAGUUUGAGAAUGGAGAAAUCAGAUGUUACUGGAAAGAGGCUAGGACUGUACUAUUUCUUGCUUCCUGUCAAGUCUUUUCAACUCAAGAGAAAGUAAAUUUUCUUGACAAACCAUUCAAAAUUAAAGGAUAGGUGGGAGUAUAUGUGUCCCUGAAGGAACAAGUGACCUUCAUUGAAAGCAGCAGCUUGGUUGAAUAAAUACUGUACAGAAGUGGAAUAAAGAGUAGCUGACAACAAUGCUGAAAUAGUUACACAUGAAGUUUUAAUGAGCUAUUUCAUAUUAAGAUACAUAUUGAGAAUUCAAACCAGAGAGACCAGUUAAUAGAUAUUUUCCCAACUCGGUUUUAAGGUGAUCAUAGAAAUGAUACCCACAAGUUAGUCACAGUGGCCUGCAUCCAUUUCGAUAUAUCAGUGAUGUAUUCUGAUUGGCCAGUAAUCACCUAUACUGACUGUUAAAUAUUUUAGUUAUCACUCCUAUGCAUGGUGAAUUUGAGUUCUGGUUUUCUUUAGCCUUGUGUUAUUUAUGUGUAAAGUUGGAUUAUGGGAGGCAAAGACUCUCUCAUGUAUCAUUCAUGCUCAAGUAAAUGGGAGUGGGGUAGGGAUGUAAAUGAAACUGCGUGAUAAGCCCUGCAAGUCAUUCUGAGGUAUCAAUUUUGCUUACUGGUGUUUAAUUGCAGACAUUGUCAUAUUAACGCAACCACUAAUACAUUAUGGAGUAAGAUGCAAAAAUCACAUGAGUCUUAAGAGAAAAGAAAUGUGCUGUCUGUCAUUGGUCCCCUUUGCAUUAUUCUCUAACUUCAUAUUUUAUACCUCUACUAUUAGAGAAAUUUCAGUAGAAAAUAGUGAGGGGCACCGUUUUACAGUUUUUGUUGUUAUAGGAAUGCUUUUACUACAGCUAGGUCCCCUCAUACAUCUUUAUGUUCUUUGGCAGUCUAGAGAACCAGAAGAGCAAACUCUAUGAGAUAGAAACCCUAAGAAUUUACCUCCAGCAUCCCUUCUCUUCUGUCAUUAAAUUGAAUUUGUAGCCAACUCAAAGGCUGACAAUUUAUACUAUGGUUUUUAUGUUUUUAUAUUAUAAUUUAUAUUAUGGCUUAUGUCAAAAUGUUUUGUUCACUGCUUUGAAAGUAUCUUCUGUUUACUUUUGUUAUCAUUUCAUAUUUUAAUUUUUUCCUUUCUAAUUGUUAGAAACUCAUGUAUUUAAUUUUAUCUUUCAAAGAACAUUUUUAAAAGCCUUACUCUGCUUAUAUGUAUAUUUUGCACAAAGCUUUCCAUUAAUAAACAAAAGGUGAAUAGGAAUCAGAAUUGAAAACUACAUAAUUUCUUUUCUCCUUUUGAGUCAAAUCAUCACAGUAUAGAUUAGUCAUUCUGUAUGAAGUGCAUUGCCAAGACAUAGUCACAUUUGUGUACAAAUGUAAAGGCUAUAUCUCAAUA